rnacentral:rRNA from 1 species
UGGCGAACGGGUGAGUAACACGUGGGUAACCUGCCCUUCACUGGGGGACAACCGAGGGAAACUUCGGCUAAUACCGCAUGAUGUGCGACGUCUCAAGACGACGUACCAAAACUCCGGUGGUGAAGGAUGGGCCCGCGGCGGAUUAGCUUGUUGGUGGGGUAAUGGCCUACCAAGGCGACGAUCCGUAGCUGGUCUGAGAGGACGAUCAGCCACACUGGGACUGAGACACGGCCCAG